rnacentral:rRNA from 1 species
UGGGGAAUAUUGGACAAUGGGCGAAAGCCUGAUCCAGCCAUGCCGCGUGUGUGAAGAAGGUCUUCGGAUUGUAAAGCACUUUAAGUUGGGAGGAAGGGCAGUUACCUAAUACGUGAUUGUCUUGACGUUACCGACAGAAUAAGCACCGGCUAACUCUGUGCCAGCAGCCGCGGUAAUACAGAGGGUGCAAGCGUUAAUCGGAAUUACUGGGCGUAAAGCGCGCGUAGGUGGUUUGUUAAGUUGGAUGUGAAAUCCCCGGGCUCAACCUGGGAACUGCAUUCAAAACUGACAGGCUAGAGUAUGGUAGAGGGUGGUGGAAUUUCCUGUGUAGCGGUGAAAUGCGUAGAUAUAGGAAGGAACACCAGUGGCGAAGGCGACCACCUGGACUGAUACUGACACUGAGGUGCGAAAGCGUGGGGAGCAAAACAGGAUUAGAUACCCUGGUAGUCCACGCCGUAAAACGAUGUCAACUAGCCGUUGGGAGCCUUGAGCUCUUAGUGGCGCAGCUAACGCAUUAAGUUGACCGCCUGGGG